GGGUAGCUAUGUGCGGAAGAGAUAACCGCUGAAAGCAUCUAAGCGGGAAACUCGUCUCGAGAUGAGUCUUGCCGGGGCCUUGAGCCCCCUGAAGAGUCGUUCUAGACCAGGACGUUGAUAGGCUGGGUGUGGAAGCGCAGUAAUGCGUUGAGCUAACCAGUACUAAUUGCUCGUGCGGCUUGACCCU
rnacentral:rRNA from 1 species